CCUGUUAUCAUGGCCAAGGAAAAUGUCCACUGGCUCGACUACAGGAAACUGCGUUGUGCCAAGUCGCGUUGAGUGUAAAUCACCGAAGACAUCACCACCAAAAGACAUCACCACUUGCUUCCAAGAGCGCCUGCUGUUCAAGUCCAACCUCGUCCUGCUGAAUGGUUUGCAUGAUGGUAGCAGAGAUGGAGGCCAAAUUCAACUGACGCACAUUCUUUAGUUCUUCAGCAAUGCACUGUAUAGUGCAAGCUGGCACUAGAAGCUUGGCCUGCAGCAUCAAGUAAAAUCGUGCAAGGCUGUGCUCAACAUUGCCCUUAAUGUCAGUUAUGUCAUCAGCAGGGCACCUCUGAGGUAGGCAGCGUUGUUCACUUGACGAUGCUUCCUGUUGAUGGCCAAUGCUAUGGCCUCAGUGUUCUCAAAGUGACUGUGUCUGCUGAAUCCAAUAUUUCUGACCACUUGCACUGACCUACGAUGCCUACUAAGGUGCACACAAAACGCGGAGAGGGCAGGAAGCUACUUCUGGCAGCGUUCAUAAAGACAUCUGAUCUCAUGACCCUCUCGUAUGUGCUGCUUCAUAUGUGACACUAUCUCUAUAAUCGUAGUGAAGUGACGUGAGCCCGAAAGGACGUGACACACUCUCGUGGUUUCGGAGAGCAAAUCGAUUCUAGGCGACCGUCCUGGCGUGUUCUUGCGACGUCUCAAAAUGUGACAGGCGUGUUCUUGCGACGUCUCAAAAUGUGACAUCUGAGUGCUGCAUAGUUUGCCACCGUGUACACAAAUAAUGCAUGGCAGCACGUUAUUCUGCUCGCUUCACGUACAUGUCUACAGUGGUCAAUCAGAGAGUUAAAAACGCAAGGGCACCUUCCGCAACGAUACAUUACAAUAAGAGCGCCUUUAUCACCCUAUGAGCCAGGACGCAUGACACACGGAGAUCUGAAACAAGGGAGACACCUCACAGCAAACGCGAGCCACCAUUUACUUGGGUCCCAUACGUUGAACAAAAACAAAGCAUACGGUGCACCACGCUCAAAAUGGCAAAGAACAGAAUGUGCGAACCACGGAGUCCGUGGUGCGAACAGAAAUGUGCUUACCUGACUACGUGCAUUCACGAGAUUAGCAACAACUUCGUCCUCCUUAGUCAACGAUCGUCCGCGCAUGACGUUCAGCGUCCGGCGUUUGCGGGUGACGGCAAUGCCCCGUACUUCGCUUAGCCUUGCCUCCGCAUUGAUGUUUUUGGCCGGCGCGUCAUGAUGGCGCCACCGUCUUACGUAGUUUUCGCCGUAUUGGCUGGACAAUGACACUCUGCUCAGUUCGCGGCCCCGACAAGCGUGCCGCCCUAGUCGAAGGCGACGGCAGCACCACCAUCCUGCUGGCUCUCCUACAAACCGCACACCAAAUUCUAAUUGAAGGUGUACUUUUUGGAAUUACAAAAAAAUAAAUGGUACUGCUCUGACUUAUGUGUUUGUUGUAUUAUCUCAAUUGUCAUUGUUGUUAAUGUCACGUGUACCGCAACCGACUUUUCAAAAGCGACCAAUCGUGUGCCUGUCCGAAGAGCGAAAGACAGAUGCGCGCGAUAUCAACCGUUGCUCCGCUCCGUGUGUCCCGUCGGAUCAACGUCUGUUGGAGUAAGUUUGCGAAUGCGAUGUUCACCUGUUUUUGCAAGCUUUUGAGCGCGAGCAGCCGGUAUGUCUGAGAAAAGACGGCGAGCGCACGUUAACUGCUGUACCAAGUGGUGCAAUAACAACGGUGCGACAGCCAACUGUAGUUUCUUUCGAAUUCCCAAAGACGAAAGGUAAGUCCUGAGAGAACUGCCUUUGCAUUAGCAAUUUUGUCACCCAGAAAUUGAAAGUCACCACGCGUCUGUUCAGGUUUCUACGAUGGCUCCAGUACGCUAACAGGCCGGACAUUGCUCAGAAACCUCCGGAGCAAGCUUACAAAAGUUCUGUGCUAUGCUCUGAGCACUUCCGACGAAGUGAUUUCAUGGAUCCAGUCUGUAAACGACUCAAGAAGACUGCAGUACCGACUGUGCCUGUGAACAAUUCAAGAGUGCAGUUUCUGGUCCCAAAUGGCACAGAGCUUUUCUGCCAUUCAAGCAACAUUCCAAUGGGCAAUGAUGGCCGCACUUCUCUUGUGCACCUCCCUGCGGAUGAUGAGCGCACGGGAAUACUAGGUAUGGAUUCCAUGGCCAUCUCAUCACCAGAAGCACUUCAUGAAAAUUCUGCUUCUCAGCACAUAGGU